GAGGAAAAGAAACUAACAAGGAUUCCCCUAGUAACGGCGAGUGAAGAGGGAAGAGCCCAAGUUUGAAAGCUGGCGUCUUCGGCGUCCGCAUUGUAAACUCGAGAAGCGUUUUCCGCGCCGGACCAAGCUCAAGUCCUUGGAAUAGGGCAUCAUAGAGGGUGAGAGUCCCGUACUUGGCUUGGAGUCCCCGGGGCUUUGUGAUACGCUCUCCAAGAGUCGAGUUGUUUGGGAAUGCAGCUCAAAAUGGGUGGUAAAUGCCAUCUAAGGCUAAAUAUCGAGGAGAGACCGAUAGCGAACAAGUACCGUGAGGGAAAGAUGAAAAGAACUUUGGAAAGAGAGUUAAACAGUACGUGAAAUUGCCGGAAGGGAAGGGUAGGGAGUCAGAUAUGCUGUGCGGAUUCAGCCUUGUCUUUGGACUUGGUGUAUUUUCGUAUUGGCAGGCCAGCAUCGGUUUGUGCCGCUGGAUAUAGGCUUGGGGAAUGUGGCUUUGUCUUCGGUCAAAGUGUUAUAGCCCCUUGCUGAGUACAGCGGCAUGGACCGAGGCCGCAGCGCACCCUCUGGGCGGGCCCUCGGGCACCUUUGCGCUUAGGAUGCUGGCUUAAUGGCUCUCUGCCACCCGU
rnacentral:rRNA from 1 species